UCUGGUUCAGGACGAACGCUGGCGGCGUGCUUAACACGUGCAAGUCGAGCGGAAAGGCCCUUCGGGGUACUCGAGCGGCGAACGGGUGAGUAACACGUGAGCAACCUGCCCCAGGCUUUGGGAUAACCCCGGGAAACCGGGGCUAAUACCGGAUAUGACCUUGCACCGCAUGGUGUUUGGUGGAAAGUUUUUUCGGCUUGGGAUGGGCUCGCGGCCUAUCAGCUUGUUGGUGGGGUGAUGGCCUACCAAGGCGACGACGGGUAGCCGGCCUGAGAGGGCGACCGGCCACACUGGGACUGAGACACGGCCCAGACUCCUACGGGAGGCAGCAGUGGGGAAUAUUGCACAAUGGGCGGAAGCCUGAUGCCAGCGACGCCGCGUGAGGGAUGACGGCCUUCGGGUUGUAAACCUCUUUCAGCAGGGACGAAGCGUAAGUGACGGUACCUGCAGAAGAAGCGCCGGCCAACUACGUGCCAGCAGCCGC
rnacentral:rRNA from 1 species